rnacentral:rRNA from 1 species
CCGCCUGAUCUCGUCUGAUCUCAGAAGCUAAG